UACGAAGGGGGCUAGCGUUGCUCGGAAUCACUGGGCGUAAAGCGCACGUAGGCGGCUUUUUAAGUCAGGGGUGAAAUCCUGGAGCUCAACUCCAGAACUGCCUUUGAUACUGAGAAGCUUGAGUCUGGGAGAGGUGAGUGGAACUGCGAGUGUAGAGGUGAAAUUCGUAGAUAUUCGCAAGAACACCAGUGGCGAAGGCGGCUCACUGGCCCGGUACUGACGCUGAGGUGCGAAAGCGUGGGGAGCAAACAGG
rnacentral:rRNA from 1 species